AAAGGGGAGCUUGCUCCUGGAUUCAGCGGCGGACGGGUGAGUAAUGCCUAGGAAUCUGCCUGGUAGUGGGGGAUAACGUCCGGAAACGGGCGCUAAUACCGCAUACGUCCUGAGGGAGAAAGUGGGGGAUCUUCGGACCUCACGCUAUCAGAUGAGCCUAGGUCGGAUUAGCUAGUUGGUGGGGUAAAGGCCUACCAAGGCGACGAUCCGUAACUGGUCUGAGAGGAUGAUCAGUCACACUGGAACUGAGACACGGUCCAGACUAAUACGGGAGGCAGCAGUGGGGAAUAUUGGACAAUGGGCGAAAGCCUGAUCCAGCCAUGCCGCGUGUGUGAAGAAGGUCUUCGGAUUGUAAAGCACUUUAAGUUGGGAGGAAGGGCAGUAAGUUAAUACCUUGCUGUUUUGACGUUACCAACAGAAUAAGCACCGGCUAACUUCGUGCCAGCAGCCGCGGUAAUACGAAGGGUGCAAGCGUUAAUCGGAAUUACUGGGCGUAAAGCGCGCGUAGGUGGUUCAGCAAGUUGGAUGUGAAAUCCCCGGGCUCAACCUGGGAACUGCAUCCAAAACUACUGAGCUAGAGUACGGUAGAGGGUGGUGGAAUUUCCUGUGUAGCGGUGAAAUGCGUAGAUAUAGGAAGGAACACCAGUGGCGAAGGCGACCACCUGGACUGAUACUGACACUGAGGUGCGAAAGCUUGGGGAGCAAACAGGAUUAGAUACCCUGGUAGUCCACGCCGUAAACGAUGUCGACUAGCCGUUGGGAUCCUUGAGAUCUUAGUGGCGCAGCUAACGCGAUAAGUCGACCGCCUGGGGAGUACGGCCGCAAGGUUAAGACUCAAAUGAAUUGACGGGGGCACGCACAAGCGGUGGAGCAUGUGGUUUAAUUCGAAGCAACGCGAAGAACCUUACCUGGCCUUGACAUGCUGAGAACUUUUCAGAGAUGGAUUGUUCCUUCGGGAACUCA
rnacentral:rRNA from 1 species